GACGAACGCUGGCGGCGUGCCUAAUACAUGCAAGUAGAACGCAGUUGCGAACGGGUGAGUAAAGCGUAGGUAACUGCCUCAUAGCGGGGGAUAACGCUUGGAAACGAUAGCCAAUACCGCAUACCUUGAUAUGGACCUGCGUUGUAUUAGCUAGUUGGUGAGGUAAAGGCGUACCAAGGCGACGAUACAUAGCCGACCUGAGAGGGUGUGCGGCCACACUGGGACCGGGACACGGCCCAGACUCCUUCGGGAGCCAGCAGUAGGGAAUCUAAGGCAAUGGACGGAAGUCUGACCGAGCAACGCCGGGUGAGUGAAGAAGGGUUUCUGGUCGUAAAGCGCUGUUGUUUGGGUAGCGGUAACUAACCAUAAAGGGACGGCUAACUACGUGCCAGCAGCCGCGGUAAUUC
rnacentral:rRNA from 1 species